CACAAAAGAAGACCCUGGGUGUAGGCGCUGGGAUCGUGAGGGAACUCAUUGAGUACUUCAAUUUCAUAGAUUUUUCGGGAAGGGAUCAAUGGACAUAAAACUGCACCAGAUUAACGUCCAAUUGCGCAAAAGAGCGAUCACAUCGAAGGUCAUAACUAAAAAAAUAUAUAGGGCACUUUCUUGAAAGUGAAAUGAGAAGUUAGAGAAGAGACCAUGGAAAUGUGGAGGUUGAUCUCUUCCCCGACCUCCAUUGAGGAGGAAGAGGGAUAGAUUUGUGUGAUAGGCGUAUGGCCAGCUGCGUACUGUUUGGCAGGAAGGAAAUUGAAAAGGAAAGAAGGGAGUGAAGUGAGGGAAUGGACUAGAUUACUUUUUGGCCAUCGUCGCCACCUGACGGAUGAGAAUAAAGAAGUUAACAAUUGAUGGGAAAGAUAACAA
rnacentral:misc_RNA from 1 species